UGAAUACGAGACGCUAAGGCGUUGAAGUAGUGUAUGUCAUACUUCCAAGAAAAGCUUGCACUGUCAUAGAUAAAAAACGCCUGUACCAUAACCGACACAGGUGGGUAGGUAGAGUAUACUAAGGGGCGCGAGAUAACUCUCUCUAAGGAACUCGGCAAAAUAACUCCGUAACUUCGGGAGAAGGAGUGCCUUAUUUAUAAGGCUGCAAUAACAAGAUCCAAGCAACUGUUUAUCAAAAACACAGGUCUCCGCUAAGUCGUAAGACGAUGUAUGGGGGCUGACGCCUGCCCAGUGCCAGAAGGUUAAAGAAGUUGGUUAGCAAUAGCGAAGCUGAUAACUGAAGCCCUGGUGAACGGCGGCCGUAACUAUAACGGUCCUAAGGUAGCGAAAUUCCUUGUCGGGUAAGUUCCGACCCGCACGAAAGGCGUAAUGAUUUGGAUACUGUCUCGGAGAGGGGCUCGGUGAAAUAGACUUGUCUGUGAAGAUGCGGACUACCUGCACCAGGACAGAAAGACCCUAUGAAGCUUUACUGUAACUUGAAAUUGAAAUUGGACUUUAUUCGCGCAGUAUAGGUGGGAGGCGUUGAUUGUAAUCUUGCGGGAUUAUUGGAGCCAUCAGUGAGAUACCACCCUUGUAAUGUUAGAUUUCUAACUUUGAACCAUUAUCUGGUCAAAGAACAGUUUCAGGCGGGCAGUUUGACUGGGGCGGUCGCCUCCUAAACGGUAACGGAGGCGUACAAAGGUUUCCUCUGAACGGUUAGAAAUCGUAUCUAGAGUGUAAAGGCAUAAGGAAGCUUGACUGUGAGACCUACAAGUCGAGCAGGGACGAAAGUCGGUCUUAGUGAUCUGACGGUACUGAGUGGAAAGGCCGUCACUCAACGGAUAAAAGUUACUCUAGGAUAACAGGCUGAUCUCCCCCAAGAGUUCACAUCGACGGGGAGGUUUGGCACCUCGAUGUCGGCUCAUCGCAUCCUGGGGCGGUAGUACGUCCCAAGGGUUGGGCUGUUCGCCCAUGAAAGCGGUACGCGAGCUGGGUUCAGAACGUCGUGAGACAGUUCGGUCCAUAUCCGGUGUAGGCGUUAGAAUAUUAAGAGGAGCCUUCUUUAGUACGAGAGGACCGAGAAGGACAUACCUCUGGUGUACCAGUUAUCGUGCCAACGGUAAACGCUGGGUAGCUAUGUAUGGAGUGGAUAACCGCUGAAAGCAUCUAAGUGGGAAGCCCACCUCAAGAUAAG
rnacentral:rRNA from 1 species